UACAGAGGGUGCAAGCGUUGUUCGGAAUCAUUGGGCGUAAAGCGCGCGUAGGCGGUCCAAUAAGUCUAAUGUGAAAUCCCUGGGCUCAACUCAGGAAGUGCAUUGGGUACUGUUGGACUUGAGUCCUGGAGAGGGUGGUAGAAUUCCCAGUGUAGAGGUGAAAUUCGUAGAUAUUGGGAGGAAUACCAGUGGCGAAGGCGACCACCUGGACGGAGACUGACGCUGAGGCGCGAAAGCGUGGGGAGCAAACAGG
rnacentral:rRNA from 1 species